UACGGAGGGUGCGAGCGUUGUCCGGAAUCAUUGGGCGUAAAGGGCGCGUAGGUGGCCCGGUCAGUUCGUGGUGAAAGCGCGGGGCUCAACCCUGCGUCGGCCAUGAAUACUGCCGCGGCUGGAGCACUGUAGAGGCAGGCGGAAUUCCGGGUGUAGCGGUGGAAUGCAUAGAGAUCCGGAAGAACACCGGUGGCGAAGGCGGCCUGCUGGGCAGUUGCUGGACACUGAGGCGCGACAGCGUGGGGAGCAAACAGG
rnacentral:rRNA from 1 species